rnacentral:rRNA from 1 species
UGGGGAGUAUUGCACAAUGGGGAAACCCGUAGCAUGCAGCGACGCCGCGUGAGUGAAGAAGUAUUUCGGUAUGUAAAGCUCUAUCAGCAGGGAAGAAGAUGACAGUACCUGACUAAGAAGCCCCGGCUAACUACGUGCCAGCAGCCGCGGUAAUACGUAGGGGCAAGCGUUAUCCGGAUUUACUGGUGUAAAGGGAGCGUAGACGGUUAUGUAAGUCUGGAGUGAAAGCCCGGGGCCCAACCCGGACUGCUUUGAAACUGUGUAACUAGAGUACAGGAGGGGCAGGCGGAAUUCCUGGUGUAGCGGUGAAAUGCGUAGAUAUCAGGAGGAACACCGGCGGCGAAGGCGGCCUGCUGGACUGAAAACUGACGUUGAGGCUCGAAAGCGUGGGAGCAAACAGGAUUAGAUACC